AGAGUUUGAUCCUGGCUCAGAUUGAACGCUGGCGGAAUGCUUUACACAUGCAAGUCGAACGGCAGCACGGACUUCGGUCUGGUGGCGAGUGGCGAACGGGUGAGUAAUAUAUCGGAACGUAUCCAAUAAUGGGGGAUAACUAAUCGAAAGGUUGGCUAAUACCGCAUACGCCCUACGGGGGAAAGCAGGGGAUCUUCGGACCUUGCGUUAAUGGAGCGGCUGAUAUCUGAUUAGCUAGUUGGUGAGGUAAAGGCUCACCAAGGCGACGAUCAGUAGCUGGUCUGAGAGGACGACCAGCCACACUGGAACUGAGACACGGUCCAGACUCCUACGGGAGGCAGCAGUGGGGAAUUUUGGACAAUGGGCGCAAGCCUGAUCCAGCCAUUCCGCGUGAGUGAAGAAGGCCUUCGGGUUGUAAAGCUCUUUCGCAAGGGAAGAAAACUUACUUUUUAAUAAAGAGUGAGGUUGACGGUACCUUGAUAAGAAGCACCGGCUAACUACGUGCCAGCAGCCGCGGUAAUACGUAGGGUGCGAGCGUUAAUCGGAAUUACUGGGCGUAAAGCGUGCGCAGGCGGUUUUGUAAGUCAGAUGUGAAAUCCCCGAGCUCAACUUGGGAACUGCGUUUGAAACUACAAGACUAGAAUAUGUCAGAGGGGGGUAGAAUUCCACGUGUAGCAGUGAAAUGCGUAGAGAUGUGGAGGAAUACCAAUGGCGAAGGCAGCCCCCUGGGAUAAUAUUGACGCUCAUGCACGAAAGCGUGGGGAGCAAACAGGAUUAGAUACCCUGGUAGUCCACGCCCUAAACGAUGUCUACUAGUUGUUGGUGGAGUAAAAUCCAUGAGUAACGCAGCUAACGCGUGAAGUAGACCGCCUGGGGAGUACGGUCGCAAGAUUAAAACUCAAUGAAUUGACGGGGCCC
rnacentral:rRNA from 1 species